rnacentral:rRNA from 1 species
UACGUAGGGGGCAAGCGUUGUUCGGAUUUACUGGGCGUAAAGGGCGCGUAGGCGGCCACCGCAAGUCAAUUGUGAAAUCUCCGGGAUUAACUCGGAAAGGUCAACUGAUACUGCGGGGCUAGAGUGCGGAAGGGGCAACUGGAAUUCUCGGUGUAGCGGUGAAAUGCGUAGAUAUCUGGAGGAAUACCGGUGGCGAAGGCGGCAUCCUGGACCGAGAUUGACGCUGAUGAGCGAAAGCUAGGGGAGCAAACGGG